rnacentral:sRNA from 1 species
CGACGACAAUGGUGCCAAUAAAUACGACUAAAAGAACCCCAAAUCAAAGCAUCUUAAGUUUUUCCUGGAUAAAAAUGAGAAGCGAAGGCAAGCAAUAAUCAGGAGGCUCGCCUGACAUAAAAGCAUGUAUGUCAUGAUUGAGAGUAGUAAAGAAUAAGCGGCGAUUUAGCGAAGAGUAACGGGAAGUAUGCAGCAGAACGCAAGCGAAGGCGAAUGGAGUUGUUUUAAGCAUAAUUGGAUCGAUACUAUCGCCACAACACAUGAAUCUGUAAUAAAUAAUUGUAGCUCAGAGGGGGAGGAAGAGAUAGAGGAACCAAACGAAGUACUGAUGAGCAAAAACACAAGAACACGUGCGUAUACCUGUUUUCAGAAGAGGAAUGCUUCUUUUUUGUACAGAGUACAAUGAAUGAUCCAAUCUGUUAGAGAAGAUGUCUCUGGUGCUGCGUUCUUCCUUGCAGGAGUUGGGAAGAAUGGAUGAGCGGCUGCAGCGGAGGCGAGCAGUGUUAACAUAUUUGGCGGACAACAAUUGAUGAGCCCGGCAUAUAAACCUUCGGAUGUACUAAUGUAUUGCCUGCGAUGGUGUCUAUGAUGAAC